CAUCAUCCCUGUCUAGAUUUUCUUGGUUAAUUCUCCACACAGAAAUUAUUUGUUCUGCAUUUUAUUGGGACGAACUACGUACAAGAUUCAGUCAGAGACUUAACGUUUGGUGGGAUACACAGAUAAGGGAAGCUUUCCGAGGGCGACAAAGACAAAUAAGCUCCUCGUCAAACAAGUGUUCACUUUAUCCUAAAGAAAUUUCACCAGUUUUAAACAUUUCUAAAUUUCCACAAAGUUUACAUUGAGAAAAAAGAACAGAACGACACAAAGUAAGGGAAGCUGGACUACUAUUGGAAAUUGUGGAGCAGUCUGAAAAGUAGGAUUGGACUAGGGAAAGAUUUUUUUACUCGAGAACCGACUUCAUCCCGAACACACAAGUUACGCCAAACUUUUGAGAACGAGCCGUUGAGAAAGGGGUCGAUGGAUUCAAGCGGGGGAAGGUCCGAGCAGAACGACGCGUUGCCGUUGGACGGGAUGGAGGUCACCGAUACACACCGGACGUUGCUCGGAGGACAGAAAGCGCUCAUCCCCACAACGGAGAAAGGGGACCGUUUUCAAGAGAAGGGACGAUUUCCUCCUCAGUCCGUCCAAUCACGGCCAACAGCACGUGACGAUAACCACAUGCAGUCCCCUUCAGCAAUCAGCAGGUCGUUAAAAGCCAAGAAAUCAGCCUCAGUGACCAGAAAUGGCGUGAAGCCUGGUCGUCACGUGGUGGAGAAAGUCUUCCUAUGCAAAAUAUGCCUGCGCCCAUUCGUCAACAGAACCAGUGCUCGCCUCCACGCCCACACCCACCUCAACUCCGAAGAGCUGGAACGGUCUUCACUUUUCCACGCGAAGUGCCCCCACUGCGAUAAAGUAUUCUUCAUUCAUCAAGGCUUUACCGACCAUCUUUUCGUGCACAUGAGUCGCCAGGAGCGCGCGGAGGUGCGGCAGGGAUGGCGAUACGGCUGCUACUUCUGCACCAAACCAUUCGAAUUUGUAUCCCAUCUCAAUCGUCAUCUUGUCGCCCACACCAAGGAAAAGUUGGGCGGGAGAUGUAACGUUUGUCGAAAAACGUUCUCCUCCAAGCAAGUCCUGACCAGGCAUCGUUUCGUCCACCUCUCCGAAGCCGAGAAGGUCGCCCUCGUGAAGCAGGGUUCGGGUCGAGUGUGCCUAUUUUGUCAGAAGAAACUCCCCGAUAACGCCACUUAUCAUAAGCACCUGGUCUCCCACACGAAGGAGAAACCCUUCCGCUGCGACCAAUGUGGGGCGCUGUUCGGUCGUAAUGGUGACUUAAACUUGCACAAGCUUCAUCACACUUCCAACCCAAAACCCUUUAUUUGCGACGAAUGCGACAAAGCGUUCACUCAAAAACAAGGUCUGACAAGACACAAGAAGACGAUUCACUGGAAACUGAAGGACUUCACGUGUCCCGACUGCGGCAAGAAGUUCGGGAGGAAGAGUGACAUGGUGACACAUGUGAAGGGGGUCCAUGCCAAAAUCCGCCACCCCUGCCCCCACUGCGGGAAGACGUUCACGCAGAAAUGCAAUCUUGGGACGCAUUUAAAAAAGGCUCAUCCCUCAGAAGCUCGUCAUCUUCCUGCCAAACCAAUUAAUUGACCACGUGUUUUACAUAGUUGUAUUAUUUCCUGAUUUCACCGUUUAUGAUAAGGACUCAAUAAUACCCUCGUGAACUUUGACCUCCUCCUCGGCCCCGUCCUCCACUACCUCCUCCCCCCCUCGUAAAUACCAUCGGGCCAAUAGACGGGUCGUUGGAGGAAGAGUUUCUGUACUGGUUGUGGGAGGAGGAGGACCCCCAUUGUCCCCCACCACCACCACUACUACGACGACGACGACGACGACGACGACGACGACGACGACGACAACAACUAUUCCUCCCACGACUAGAGCAACGUUACCACCACGGACGACAUCACCAUAUCCGUAUCCGUGAGGCAAGGUGAGAAGAUGACUGCGAGAUGUGAGAACAGAGAGCGAAGAAUGUAGAAAGUACAGGCAAUUUUUCAUGCACCCUGUCUCAGUCUGCCUCGUGGACUGGCCACUGGAGAAGAGAAUGUCACAUUGUGAUGUUCAUGCACAUUUGUCUCAAUUUGCCUCGCGAUACUCAGGAGAUGAGAACAUACUAGGAUAUUUACAAGUCAGAUUUUCAUGCCUUUAGAUAUCUUUGGGGACUUGGUAAGUGUAGGAAAAUCAAAGGAGGGUUACUAUCCAAGGCAAACCAUACCCAUUUAAAAAGUGCUCCUACCUACGCUAAACUAGUCGUAUUAAAAAAUCCACCAAAUAUCCAAUUUUGCCUGGAUUUUUUAUAAUUUUUCAUUUUCCUAUAUACCAUUGGGAGAUCGUGUCUUUUGGAAAUUUCAUACUAAUUAAAUUUUUGAUUGUUAUCAAAAUAUGAGAGGUGGGAGACUUCCAUUCUUAGGGACGCUUAUAAAAUUAGGAUUUUAUUUUUUUAAAAACACUUUUUUAUUUUAUUUACUACGAUGAGAGGAUAUAUUCUGAAAAAAAGUGUAAUUAUAAUUUAAAAAAGUAUUAAAUUAUGUAUGAUCAGUUAAA